UACGAAGGGGGCUAGCGUUGUUCGGAAUCACUGGGCGUAAAGCGCUCGUAGGCGGAUCUUUAAGUCAGGGGUGAAAUCCCGAGGCUCAACCUCGGAACUGCCUUUGAUACUGGGGAUCUCGAGUCCGGGAGAGGUGAGUGGAAUUCCUAGUGUAGAGGUGAAAUUCGUAGAUAUUAGGAAGAACACCAGUGGCGAAGGCGGACUCACUGGCCCGGUACUGACGGCUGAGGCGCGGAAAAGC
rnacentral:rRNA from 1 species